rnacentral:rRNA from 1 species
GAUGAGUGGCGAACUGGUGAGUAACACGUGGGAAACCUGCCCAGAAGCGGGGGAUAACACCUGGAAACAGAUGCUAAUACCGCAUAACAACUUGGACCGCAUGGUCCGAGCUUGAAAGAUGGCUUCGGCUAUCACUUUUGGAUGGCCCGCGGCGUAUUAGCUAGAUGGUGGGGUAACGGCUCACCAUGGCAAUGAUACGUAGCCGACCUGAGAGGGUAAUCGGCCACAUUGGGACUGAGACACGGCCCA